GGGUUUGAUCCUGGCUCAGAUUGAACGCUGGCGGCAUGCCUUACACAUGCAAGUCGAACGGUAACAGGUCUUCGGAUGCUGACGAGUGGCGAACGGGUGAGUAAUACAUCGGAACGUGCCCGNUCGUGGGGGAUAACGCAGCGAAAGCUGUGCUAAUACCGCAUACGAUCUACGGAUGAAAGCGGGGGAUCGCAAGACCUCGCGCGGACGGAGCGGCCGAUGGCAGAUUAGGUAGUUGGUGGGAUAAAAGCUUACCAAGCCGACGAUCUGUAGCUGGUCUGAUCGGAAUUACUGGGCGUAAAGCGUGCGCAGGCGGUUAUAUAAGACAGAUGUGAAAUCCCCGGGCUCAACCUGGGAACUGCAUUAGUGACUGUAUAGCUAGAGUGCGGCAGAGGGGGAUGGAAUUCCGCGUGUAGCAGUGAAAUGCGUAGAUAUGCGGAGGAACACCGAUGGCGAAGGCAAUCCCCUGGGCCUGCACUGACGCUCAUGCACGAAAGCGUGGGGAGCAAACAGGAUUAGAUACCCUGGUAGUCCACGCCCUAAACGAUGUCAACUGGUUGUUGGGUCUUCACUGACUCAGUAACGAAGCUAACGCGUGAAGUUGACCGC
rnacentral:rRNA from 1 species